AUUGAAAAGACUUAAAAACAUCCCGUGGGAGCAGAACCGACCCACGACGGCAAUCCUGAGGCAGUGAAGCAUGCAGACUUUUUAAAAUAAAAAAAAUUACCUUUUUUUAUUUUAAAACCCUGACGGAGAACUUCAUGGACAGACCCUUAGACUUUACACACAGAGAAAGCUUUGCCAACGGCGCCGGCUUAAAAGAGAAUCCGGGUUUGGCGCUGAAGCUGAACGUCACGGCAGGAAACAUGAGAGCGAAUAAUAAUAAUAA